UAAAAAUCAUUUUUCUUGUUUUAGUUUUCUGGAUAUGCCGCAGAAGGAUCCGUGCCAGAAGCAAGCCUGUGAGAUACAGAAAUGUUUACAAGCCAACAGCUACAUGGAAUCAAAGUGUCAGGCUGUCAUCCAAGAACUGCGUAAGUGUUGUGCUCAGUAUCCCAAGGGAAGAUCUGUCGUCUGUUCAGGAUUUGAAAAAGAAGAGGAAGAAAAGCUAACACUGAAGUCUGCAUCAAAGUAAAGUUCUUCUGAAGCUGCUCCAUGUUUCCACCAAAUGAAUUUUUUUUAUCCUCCUGACUUUCUUCAGGCCAGGUAGCAGCAAAUAGCAAAUGAAAAAGUCAGCUAGAAAAGUUAAUGAAUAUGCCAUCUAUGCAGAACAGGCAGAAAUAUAAACACAUU
rnacentral:lncRNA from 1 species